rnacentral:rRNA from 1 species
CAAACUGGAGAUGGCGACCGGCGCACGGGUGAGUAACACGUAUCCAACCUGCCGAUAACUCGGGGAUAGCCUUUCGAAAGAAAGAUUAAUACCCGAUGGCAUAGUUCUUCCGCAUGGUAGAACUAUUAAAGAAUUUCGGUCAUCGAUGGGGAGUGCGUUCCAUUAGGUUGUUGGCGGGGUAACGGCCCACCAAGCCUUCGAUGGAUAGGGGUUCUGAGAGGAAGGUCCCCCACAUUGGAACUGAGACACGGUCCAAACUCCUACGGGAGGCAGCAUG